AGACGAUUGCUGCUAGGGGUGGGGGACGCUUCCAGAGAUCAGAGGCGGGAGACUGUUUACCGGACUGAGCCCUCCCGCUCACACAGUGAGCGGCAGACCGGAUGACCUCAGCCUGGUGCACUGCCCUCUUCCCCUCUCGAGGUCCCGGGGAGGAGUCGCCCGUGCGGACUGAACAAAGUCGAGUUCCUGCGCUGGUCCCGCACAGAGGCCGAAGGAAAGGGCAGGGAUGAGGCUGUGCCUGCUGGGCUGCUUGGUGGCCGCACUGAUUUGGGAGGGGGCCGGCAUCCCCCUGGGAAGGGCUCCAACACGGGAGGAGUCAAAGGAACAGGUCAAGAUCAAGAGACUCAAGCAUCAUCGUUUUCACCCUUCUAACAGGAUACCGUUCCAAAUGAGGACCGUCGAACAACCUCUACUACAGGCAUUUAAGAGAGAUUGGAAUUCCUCAGAAGACUUCCCCAUAUGCUGCGAUGGCAGCGUGGACGGGCCCGAGAGCAGAAAGGAAGGAGGGGAAGCCGGCAGGAAUUCUUCCACGGAGGACAUAUACGUGAUAUUCGGGACGUUCGUGGAUCCUGCCGAGGAGGGAACAUUGGAAAGAAGGAGCCGUUGUGAAGGCUGUUGUGGAGAGAGAGUCACUUUGGGGCCGGAAUCCUGGAGAAGCCAGGAGGAGGCCGGGGAUGUUCCGGGUACCGGAACCACUCACAUGGAGAAGACCGGGGAAAUGAAGGUCAUCAAUCUGCAUGAUAACAUCAACUUGACUUUUGCUUUGAGCAGACCCUUCACCCAAGUCUGGAAGAAAGAAAGUGACCUCUGUGCUGGCUGCUGCCCUGACCCCAGGACCCACCGAUCAGAAGUCCCUGCAGAUGGAGAGGAAGGAGGAGUGGUCGGGAGCUCUCCUGGGCUGGCCAGUGUCCAAGGACCACAGAAUUCCUGGACCAGACUGGGCCAUUUGAUCCGCAGGAUUCAGGAUCCUGGAGGAUACUUCUGGGGUAACCCAGGGCCCCCCACCCAGCCAAUACACCCUCAGGAGGAGAAAACACAGAGAAGAACCCAGGGAGGGUCUUACUGCUCAAGGCCAUCCAAGGACCAAUUAAGUUAAACUGGUGUCAACCCAACCCGGCCCUGUGGAAUCCAGAACAACCAAUCUGGUCUCUCUCUCUCUCUCUCUGGUAGCACCAAGCUUAGGUGGCUACUCUUCCUGCUUCCAAUCGCUCUUUCCUUCCUCCCCCACGCUCGGUCUCUUGUGUCUUUACACCGAUCUGGCCUGCAGCCCAGCUUCCUCCCCUCCCCUGCGAGGCCACUACUCUCUGUAACAGUCACCAAGAAGCCUCAGGUUGGGCAGGAAACGGUUAACCCCGCAGGGAAUGAUGGAGGAAUCUGGGAAUAAAGGAGUUGGAGAUCUGUUCUCAGUGCCCUUGUCUUGGGGGGGACAGUCGAUGCUGAGAGUCUCCAGGAGGAAAAAUUGGGCUCCCCUUAAUAAUAAUAGUAAUUACUAAUUAUUAUGUAUUACUAUAGUAUUAAGUGCUGGAGCAGAGCCAAGAUAAUCAUGUUGCACACAGUCCUUGUCUCACAGGGGUUUCACAGACUAGACAGAAGGAAGUAGAAUUUAAUCCACAUUUAAUAGAUGAGGAAACAGACACGGAGAAGUUAAGUGAUUUGCCCAAAGUCACCCAGCGGGCAACUGGCAGAGAUGACAUUUGAACCCAGGUCCUCUGGCUCCCAGGCCCGGGGUCUUUCUACGGCUUCCGUUAAUCUUGUCUGUGGCAGACAGGAGUCCUCUCGGGGCUGACAAAUCACCACCACCCCUUCCUGCUGUCGCCGGAGUCAUAUUGAGGUUUGAUUCCAACUGAGUCUUCCGUAACUCAACCCAGUUUCUAAGUUAAAAUCUUGGAACUAGGCUUCUGUGAGGCAGGCAACUGUUUCCACAGUAACGGGCAUCUACAAAGACGCCCCCCGCCCAAUUUUACUUUCUCUUCUGGAACCUCGCCCAGGCCAAGGGACAACCACUCCCUCCCAAUCUCCCCAGAACCAGGUGGGGCUGGCCACCGCACGCAAAAUUACCGGCCACCGCAAAGCCCAUGUCGUCACAUGUGCUAGGUCAGGCCUGCAGUGUACCGUAUUGACAUCGUAUAUGACAUUUUGAGGUCUUCCACCUGUGUCCUCCUGAAUCGAGCGUGUUUCUCUGAUUCCCCAACUCUCACUCACUCCCCAGUUUUGUGUCCCCUUCCCAAGUCCGUGUGAAUAUAGACGCCGCUUCCAAGCCGUGGAACGCAGCGUUCGGCUUGACGGCGGAGGAGGACGGAUACCUUUUUUUAUGGUAUUUGUUAAGUACUUACUAAGAGUCAAACACCGUUCUAAGCACUGGGGUAAGUACAUACUAAUUAGGUCGGACACAAUCCCUGUCCCUCACGGGGCUCACAGCCUAAGUAGGAGGCAGAAAAGGGAUUAAAUUCCCACUUUAUAGUCGAUGAAACUGAAGCACAGAAAAGUUAAGUGACUUGUCCAAGAUCACACACCAAGCAGUUGGCAGAGCUAUUGGAUGGGGUGGGAUUCAAACCCAGGUCCUCUGACUCCCAGGCCCGGGCCUUUUCCAUUAGGCCAUGAUGCCUUGGUACUUAGCCCCAAAUCCCAGACCUAAAGGCGUCUGGUGUCCUAAUUGCCUCAGCCUGGGACAGACCAGCUGAAAAAUGACCCGUCUGAUGUAAAACUGGGUGAAUGGCCACUUUACAGAGCAAUAAUCAAGAGCCAGGAUUAGAACCCAGGUCCUCUGACUCCCGGGCCUGGGGUCUUUCCAUUAGGCCACACUGCUUCAUCUGUCACCAUCUGCCCUGCUUCUAGAAGUGCCUGAACCCUGACAGAGCCCUGGGGAGUAGCAGCAGGGGGAGGAGGCAAAUCUGUAGUAUUCAUUCAAUAUUCAUUCAAUAGUAUUUAUUGAGCGCUUACUAUGUGCAGAGCACUGUACUAAGCGCUUGGGAUGAACAAGUCGGCAACAGAUAGAGACGGUCCCUGCCGUUUGACGGGCUCACGGUCUAAUCGGGGUAGAUGGACGGACAAGAACAAUGGCGAUUAUAUAGAGUCGAGGGGAAGAACAUCUCGUAAAAACCGAUGGCGACUAAAUAGAAUCGAGGCGAUGUACAAUUCAUUAACAAAAUAAAUAGGGUAACGGAAAUAUAUACAGUUGAGCGGACGAGUACAGUGCUGUGGGGAGGGGAAGGGAGAGGUGGAGGAGCAGAGGGAAAGGGGGAAAAGAGGGUUUAGCUGUGGAGAGGUGAAGGGGGGGCGGUAGAGGGAGUAGAAGGAGAAGGGAGCUCAGUCUGGGAAGGCCUCUCGGAGGAGGUGAGUUUUAAGUAGGGUUUCGAAGAGGGGAAGAGAAUCAGUUUGGCGGAGGUGAGGAGGGAGGGCGUUCCGGGACCGCGGGAGGACGCGGCCCGGGGGUCGUCGGCAGGAUAGGCGAGACCGAGGGACGGCGAGGAGGUGGGCGGCGGAGGAGCGGAGCGUGCGGGGUGGGUGGUAGAAAGAGAGACGGGAGGAGAGGUAGGAAGGGGCAAGGUGAUGUAGAGCCUCGAAGCCUAGAGUGAGGAGUUUUUGUUUGGAGCGGAGGUCGAUAGGCAACCACUGGAGUUGUUUAAGAAGGGGAGUGACAGGCCCAGAUCGUUUCUGCGGGAAGAUGAGCCGGGCAGCGGAGUGAAGAAUAUACCGGAGCGGGGCGAGAGAGGAGGAAGGGAGGUCAGAGAGAAGGCUGACACGGUAGUCUAGCCGGGAUAUAACGAGAGCCCGUAGCGGUAAGGUAGCCGUUUGGGUGGAGAGGAGAGGGCGGAUCUUGGCGAUAUUGUAUAGGUGAAACCGGCAGGUCUUGGUAAUCGCCCCUUCAUCUCCACCCAGGUCUGGGCUGUUCGCCCAGGGCCUUUGCGCUCUGCCAAUGUCAGAAGGGGGAGAGUGUUUACCAAGCGGAGGCCCAGCUCCCCCACAGGGUGCAGCCCAAUGACCCAAGCCUCGGGGACUGCUCUCUCCACACUCUGGGGUAGAGGAGAGGGCCCCCACUGAAGCCGCAGUGACGGGAAGAGAUGAGGCUGGGACCACUGGGCUUCUUGGUGGCCGGGCUGGCCCUGGGGGUAGCCAGCAGCCCCCUGGGAAAGGCCCCCGCCCAGAGGUUACAGGUACAGGACGUGGGAGUGGGCACGGGGACACCAGAGGAACGGGGGUAACGGUCAAUUCAUGGAGGCAAAGGGGGUUCGCGGGGCUGAGGCGGAGACGGAGACCGGGGCCAGGGAGCGAGGGCAGGGUCCCCCUUCCCUUGUCCCUCUUCCACCCAUCGGGGCCAUGCAGACCCCUCCAUCUCCCCCCUCGUUCACAAAGUUAAUCCCGGCCCGGACGUCUUCCCGACUCCUCCCUCUGCCACCUAAUUCAUUUCUCCUCUUGACUGAGGGUUCCUCACAAACCUCUCUGACCAUCCCUAAACUGAGUCACCCUCCCUGGGUAUGUUUUCCAUAUCACAGUAUUUCUGUUCCCUGUACUAGAGUUUCCCAGAUAGGAGAUUGUGGAUAGGUUGGGGGAUCUGGGCUGGCUAGAGAUUCCGGAGCCGUUGGGCAUUCUGGAGCAGCUGGGGAUUCUAGAGCCGUUGGGCUGACCCGUUUCAGUAGGGGGUAGGCGUCCUCUUGAAGGCCCUUUGUGGGGUCAGUUUCCUGUUUGCUUCAACAGGUGCCCUGGUGCCUUGGCGACCGUUUCCCUCCCACCAGAAGGCCUUGACUUUCCUGUCGGCUUUCUAGUUACCCCUUUCUCUCGUCCCUUCUCCAACCCAAUUUCUGAACAAGUAACGGCACCAAUUCUGGUGAAGCAGUACAGGUCCAAGGUGGGCGGCCCCAUCCCGGCUCCUUUCUUUCUUUCUUUUAAAUUUUAACAAUAAUAAUAAUAAUUUGUUAAGCACUUACUCUGUGCCAGGCACUGUUCUAAGUGCUGAGAUAGAUACAAUAAGAGAAAUAGUAAUUAUGGUACUCUGUUAAGUGCUUACUAUGUGCCAAUCACUGCUCUAAUCAUUGGGAUAGAUACAAGAUAAUCAGGUUGGACACAUUUAUGCUUUUUUUUUUGUAAGGUUGGACCGAUUUUUAGGAAAAGAC
rnacentral:lncRNA from 1 species